ensembl:miRNA
GAGGUAGGAGGAUCGCUUGACCCCAGGAAGUUGAGGCUGUAGUGAGCUGUGAUCAUGCCACUGCACUCCAGCCUGAGUGACAGAGUAAGACCUUGUCUC